GUGGUGGAAGCAUGUCUGGAAGGAUCUGCCAGGGAAUGAGUACAGAGAGAACAGCCAGGGGAAAAAAAUGGUUUCAAUGCCCUAGAUAGCUGAAACCUGUGUCAGUGUCCACAGUGUUUGAAUAGUCUGGUUUUAAUAGAAACAUGAAAACGCCAUAUGGAGCCAGACAACCAUUUCCUUCCUUCAGCGUGUUUGUCCAUGUUUAAGUGGAGCACAGCAACAUUUCUGUGACUUGCUUCUUGUUGGUGCAUUGGAGAGUUGAAGAAAUGGAGUAGCCUGGAUUGGUCCUUGAUAUGCAAUCACUUCAUGGAGUACUGUACACAGGACUAUGCACCAUUAGCCAAGCCUCCCAGUCAGCCAAAUGUGUGCCAGGGAAGGAAUUACGUCUUUUCAUUAGGAGGGUAACAGUAUGAAGGCAUUACAGGACACAGCGUUGAGUGCCACCAGUCUUGGAAUUGAACAGUCUUUCAAAUCCAACUGGUCAACCAAUUGAAAGAAAACAACACAAUCUUUGCAACAACAGCAAUUUAUAUGCCGAGAAGUGCUAAAGCCUUGCAAAGGAUUACGGGCUGAGGGUGGCAAAUAAAAUGGCUAAGCAUUGCUGUGGGCUAUUUUGUCACCAAGCCUGGAAUGAGGCAUCCUGCGAGAGACCUGGAAAAACCAUGCUUCUGAAGUAGACCACAGGUAGACAGGGCUUGCUGCAGGCAAGCUUUGUGAAUUUGUCUUCCCUCUUGGAGAAAGAAGAAGAAAAAAGAGAAAAAACAGAGUAUCUUGUUUCCUUCAUGCCUGAAAUAAGCUGAAACGGGGAGCUUUGCAUUCCUGUGUUUACAAAUGUAGAGGUGAAAAGAGAUUUCAUUAAUGUCAGCUUGGUAGUGAUUCUUUAAGGCUUUUACCUCAAAUGGUCACCUCCUGGAUGCAUUGGGGGUGCGAGGCAUCACUUAAUUGCAGGAGACAUGGAAGUCCAUAAAUCAAUGGCAUGCAAAGGAUAGAUGAAGGGGAGGUAAAUCUUAAUGCAAGGAUGAGGGAAAAAAUGAUAAUGUGAAAACUGCAUUGAAUACCAUCUCUUAUUCUUUGUCAUCUCAUUCACCUCCCUGAAAAGCGAUGGUGGUGUAAUAGGUAAGAGGCGACACUUUGGGUUUUAUUCAGAGGUCUUCUACUAACUUGUGCUACUAACUUCAACACAUCUCUUUGCCUUGCAGCAUAUUUCCAUGGAAUUAGUAUCUCAGUGAGAUGGAGACCUGCCUUUUCAUUUAGAAAUUAAUCUAGCAUAAUUUCAAUUAUAGCUACUCUUAGUUGCAUUGCACAUCUUAGAAUAAAUAUUCUUCUUUAGAGUUAUCACACCAGUUGUGAUUGCCUUACAAAUGAAGUAUGCAGACAAUGAAAGAAUUCUCUGCAAUUUAUUUCUGGUGAUGAUUUGGCCCAGACCAUAAAAACCAUAACCCUUUUUCUAAUUUGGCCAGAAGGAUAAGAUGUUGCUUCUCUGCGUCCAUCUGACAUGGGAGGUGACUCAGUUCCUCACUAGCUCAGGAAUCCAGGCUUUACUAAUGCCUGGGAUUUGAUUAUGCUCACAUGGCUAGUUUCUGAGAGGAGCUGGUAAACUUCGUUUUGCUUCAGUUAUUAGUUUUUAAGGCUAUGAAAGGUCAAGAUAAACCAUCCAUAAAUGCGGCACCGAUUAAAACCUCACUUAGCUUAUUGCACAGUAUGUAAUUGUUCAUCCUAUGUCAAAUAAUAAAAUCUGAUGG
rnacentral:lncRNA from 7 species